UGCCGGAGUGCUUGCACUUUGGCAGACUGAGUGGCGGACGGGUGAGUAACGCGUGGGUAACCUGCCUUAUACAGGGGGAUAACAGUUAGAAAUAGCUGCUAAUACCGCAUAAGCGCACGGUUCCGCAUGGAACAGUGUGAAAAACUCCGGUGGUGUGAGAUGGACCCGCGUCUGAUUAGCCAGUUGGCGGGGUAACGGCCCACCAAGGCAACGAUCAGUAGCCGGCCUGAGAGGGUGAACGGCCACAUUGGGACUGAGAUACGGCCCAGACUCC
rnacentral:rRNA from 1 species